rnacentral:rRNA from 1 species
UGCAACUCGCCUGCAUGAAGUUGGAAUUGCUAGUAAUCGCGAAUCAGCAUGCCGCGGUGAAUACGUUCCCGGGCCUUGUACACACCGCCCGUCAAACCAUGAGAGUUGGCAACACCCGAAGUCGGUAGUCUAACCGCAAGGAGGACGUCGCCGAAGGUGGGGUUGAUGAUUAGGGUUAAGUCGUAACAAGGUACC